CCGGUGAUCUAGCCAUGGGCAGGUUGAAGGUUGGGUAACACUAACUGGAGGACCGAACCGACUAAUGUUGAAAAAUUAGCGGAUGACUUGUGGCUGGGGUGAAAGGCCAAUCAAACCGGGAGAUAGCUGGUUCUCCCCGAAAGCUAUUUAGGUAGCGCCUCGUGAACUCAUCUUCGGGGUAGAGCACUGUUUCGGCUAGGGGUCAUCCCGACUUACCAACCCGAUGCAAACUACGAAUACCGAAGAAUGUUAUCACGGGAGACACACGGCGGGUGCUAACGUCCGUCGUGAAGAGGGAAACAACCCAGACCGCCAGCUAAGGUCCCAAAGUCAUGGUUAAGUGGGAAACGAUGUGGGAAGGCACAGACAGCCAGGAU
rnacentral:rRNA from 1 species